GGGGAUUUGGCCCAGUGGUAGAGCGCUUGCCUAGCAAGCACAAGGCCCUGGGUUCGGUCCCCAGCUCCG
rnacentral:tRNA from 1 species